CCUGAGAGACACGUGUGACAUUAGGAAGGAACACUUAGAAAUGGUAGUCCGAGGCGCAGAGGAACGGAGCCUGGCCUGGUCCUGUAUUCGAUUCGUGGAAGUAGAAAGAGAGACAGUCAUCACUCAUCACUGAAGCGUGGUUUUGGUCUGACAUGGCGAGUAACAGAGAGAGAGAUGAGUCUCUUACAUUCACAAUCCCUUCUUCCUCUUCUCAUUCUUCCCCCAUCACCGUCUCCGACCAACUCGACAGUUACCUCGCCGACCCCAGAAGCGCCUCCGGAAGCUUCCAGAACGACGGCCUCCUCUCCGCCGGUGACGCCGCCGCCGCUGAUCCCGACUUCGGAUUCUACCGUCCUGAUUUCCGUCAGAACCCCCUCUCCGGCUCCGUCGAGUUCUACCAACGCCACGUCUUCCUCUGUUAUAAGAACCCUCGCGUCUGGCCACCGCGAAUAGAAGCGGCAGAGUUCGAUCGCUUGCCGAGGUUGCUCUACGCCGCCGUUGUCGCAAGAAAGAGUCAGAUGAAGAAGGAGACUCGGUUAACGAUAUGUGAGGGUCAUGAUGGAACUGAGACAUCUAAUGGGGAUGUGUUGAUCUUUCCUGACAUGGUUAGAUACAGGAGGUUAACGCAUUUUGAUGUUGAGACGUUUGUGGAAGAGGUUCUUGUGAAGGAUGGGGAGUGGCUUCCCGGAACCCCUGAGGCUUUGAGAGGUUCUUAUAUUUUUGUGUGUUCACAUGGAUCCCGUGAUCGCAGAUGCGGGGUUUGUGGACCUGUCUUGGUCAGUAGAUUCAGGGAGGAAAUAGAGUUGCAUGGUCUUCAAGGUAAAGUGUUUGUAAGCCCGUGUUCACACAUUGGGGGAAGUCAGUAUGCAGGAAACGUCAUUGUGUUUGGACCUAGCAUGAAUGGAGAAGUCACUGGGCACUGGUAUGGUUAUGUUACCCCGGAUGAUGUACCUUUAUUGCUUCAACAUCAUAUCGUAAAAGGGGAGAUCUUAGAUUCACUAUGGAGGGGUCAGAUGGGUUUAUCAGUGGACGAACAGCAGAAAAAGCAUGAACAGAGGCUUCUGCUGAAUGGCUUAAGAGAUUUAGAAGAAAGCACUCAAGUGUGUAGGCCUCAAGACAAUUUUGUGAGCUGCCAAUCAAUUGGAGUGAACUGCUGCCAAUCAAAUGAAGUUGUCUGUUGCCAAUCAAAUGGAGACCCUUCUUUCCGUCAGAAUCAUGUGUUAGUGGAAAAGAGAAAGGACCCUGAUGUCAUUGAGACACAGGCAAAACUCUCAGCUGAUAAUAAGAGCAGUGAAACUGUGAUUUCUCGGAUCAGUAGUGGCAAAGGAGCUUCGCGCAAGUUUCCAUCCAUGACUACUUGGCUUGAUUGGGAGCAGGAAGAUACUUAUGCAGCCCUUGCUGUUGUCUGUGCUGCUGUGUCUGUUGCGAUUGCCUAUAACUGCUACAAACAAUUGAGAUAAGAGGAAUCGACUUUGGCAGCGUUAUUAAGUGGUUCAGAUACUUAAGCUUUACUAUAUCUGGAUAUUAGCUUCAUGUCUGAUACUAGUGCGGUUCUUCUUUAGAUCAGUCCUUACUGAACAUACAGGGAAACCAGUGGAGCUCAAUCUUUAAUCUGGAUGUGUGCGCUUUAUUGCAUGUGCUUGCAGAGUAUUAUUAUUUAAUGGUGACAACAGUCAUGGAUGGGACUUAUGAAGAUGAAACACUUGAUAUAAAAGAAUGCAGCAUGUCCAGAGUCUUUUACCCUUGUUGGGAACAGAAAAUUAAACCAUAUAGAACAUGAUUAUUGAUAAAGAAAUUUCUCAAAUGUUGUGUCAAGAAUAGAUGGGGAUCGUGAGUUUUAUUGAGAAAAUAAGUUGUAGUUUGCAAGAGGAUAAUAAAAAAAAUGUUGCAGGACAAAUGACACUUGAGGAAAAAUACUUUCUUCAACUUUUAUUAUGGUAACCCUGAUGAAUGGUAUAUUGUGUAACAAUGUCUCAGACACGGUUCUGAACACAGAUGUACAUUUUGUAUAAAUAGUGUUAAUUAACGGAAGAAGUGUAACUUUUAUGUUC